UUUCCCUCCCCUGUCCUGUGUCCCCCUACUCCUGGGUGGGGCUGAGACAGAAAGGAGGCCUCCAAGGGUGGCACCCGGGAUGACCCAACGGUUGGGAGAUUUGUCCCCACUGGCUUGCCUUCAGCCCCCUCCCUCUGAUUGCCUGCAUCCCAGCCGCUCCCAGGCAUGCCUGGGGCAGCAGGACCUUGCAAAUCCUUGGCUGGGCUGCCUCCACUUAGAACCGGGUUUUUCUCCCCAUCCCCCAAAAGACAGCCCCAUAGGCGGGCGGGUGAGAGUCCCUGGGGAGGAGGGGUGAGCGGGAGCAGCCAGACACACCUGCCUCAUUCCUUUCCUCUUGAUCACCCGGGAGAGAGCUGUGGGGGCUGGGUUCCCUACCCCCUUCCCCUCUCCCAUUCCAGUGAAGAGGAGAGAAUGCAGGGGGGGGGGGUGCUCCCACCCCCCAGCACUGUCCACUACAGCACUAGCCUUGGGCUCCCCCCACCCCCGCACUGCUUUCUAGGCUUAAAGAGGAUGGAGCCGGCGGAGGGGAGACUGAAGAGUUACAGGAUGAAGCCGGGACACCCUGGUGGAGCAGCAACACUGCAGAGCAGGGCUGUCUCCGGAGAGAAGGGGGUGGUGAUUGGGCUAGGGGAGGGGACACAUUUUAGUGAGUCAAGGCCUGGUCAUCCGACCUGCAAAGGAGGGGAGGAAAAGGUGGGGAAGGAGCGAAAGGGGUCGCCCACCCACUGUCCUCUCCCUGGGCCGGAAACUGACCGGAGUGCUGGCACCAAAGGGGGAAGAAGUGCUGGGCGCUACUGGAACCCUCGUGGCCCCACGGUGGCGGGAAGCCGAGGAGCUAACGGGAUGAGGACGGUGGACAGAUCGGCAGGCAGUAGCAGGUUAAGGCUGGGGUGGGGUCAGAACCCAGGCAUCCUGCUUUUCAGUCCCCCAGGAGCCGAAGUUGGGAAGCGAGCCGAGCAGAGGCGCAGGCGUGCAAAGGUGGACCAACGAGCUACAGGAGUGCCCCGGAGGAGGGUCUGCCGGAGCUCAAGGAGCGCUUCUCGCCUCCCGCAGUCCAGCUGUCCGCAUCUGGCCAGCAGCUGGGAGCCGCCCACCGCAAACUGCUGAGGACACGGCGCCCUCUGUUGGUGCAGAGCCUCGAAACGCCGGCUUCGGGUUGCACUGCCCGCCGCAACAUCAGGUUCCUUCUUCUCCGGCUGCUGCCUUGCUGACCCUGUCCCCUCCGUCGCCCUGCUCCUAAAACCCUGCACGGCGACCUAGCUGUCCCCACUUUCUUCAUGGCCAGUCGUCCGAGCGCGGCCGCUGCUUGUGCGGCGCCAUCUCUCAGCGCCCGAUGUAGAAGUCCUAAAUAAGGAACACGGUUACAUAAAUCACCGCCCAUUUGCUCAAUGGAAUUCCUCGCCGCGUCCUUAAAAAUGAGGUGGUUGAGGUAUAUUUAGUGACUGAGGCAGUGUUUGUUCUACGUGGGGGAGGGAUCUUGGAAAAUACAGAACAGCACAGCGCAGCGAAGGGGCCCUCUUGUACUGCAGCGAAAAUGUAUAGACGUGAUUUGAAUUUCAAAAGUCUAAAACAGGCAUUGAAAUGCUAACGGUAUUUUUGGGUGGGGGAUUACAGGUGGUUUGCAAGUUGUUCUCAAUUUAAUCUGCAUCUCUCAUUUUCUAUAAUGAACAUGUGUUAGCUGGACAUGGUAAUAAUCCAGUAUUCAGACCAUUUUGACCUCAAUGUGAGCAUUGAGUUAUACAAUACAAAUAUACUACAUUUAAAAUGUUUAAAAUGGUACUUAUUUGAAAGAUUGAGAUUGACUCCUUUAUUUGUUAAAUAUUUAUUUAUUUAUUUGAAAGAGUUACACAGAAAGAGGAAGAGAGAGAGAUCUUCAAUUUGCUGGUUCACCCCCAGCUGCCUGCAAAGCUAGGAGUCAGGAGCUUCUUCCAGGUCUUCCACCUGGGUGCAGAGGCCCAAGUAUUUGGUCCCAAGUCUUCCUCUGCUUUCCCAGGCAUAUUAGCAGGGAGCUGCAUUGGAAGUGGAGCAGCCAGGACUCAAAAUGGGUCUCAAACCAGUGCCCACAUGGGAUGCUGGCAUCAUAGGCAGCAGUUGUAUCCACUGUGCCACAAUGCCAGCCCUGAGAGAUUGGUUUCAGCUGUUGGUCCUCUCCUCAAAUGCUUGCCACCGUCAGGCCAAGCCAUGAGCCUGGGGCCAGGAACUCAAUUCAGGUCUCCCAUGUGGGAAACAGGGACUCAACUACUGGAACCAUCACCUGCUGCCCCACCGGGUGCACACUGAUGAGAAGCUGGAACUGGGAGCAGAAGCCGGACUCCACACCAGGCACUCUGAAUGGAUGCAGGUGCCUCAAGUGGUGUCCUAAGCACUGUGCCAAGUGUUCACACCAAAUAUACUAAAUUUUACAAAGAAUCCUUUUUAAAACUACGAAUUGGGAGAUCUGUCUCCUGACAAGCAUUAAUAUGACUGUUGUUGGGAUUUUCUGUUCAGAAUUGGAGUGGUUUACAGUAAGAAUGGGUUUCCAAUCUCUGACUCUCAGAGCUCAGAGAAGCCAAAAGGUUGUUAAAAGGGUCCUGAAAUCCAUGUGUGCAUUCAGUAUUGUUUGUGAAUGGAGUAGGUUAUUUAUUUUCCACUGCUUUUCAUAUGGAUGAAGACGCUGCCAUCAUCUACCAUACAGAAAGCUUGUAUAAAGGUUAUUACCUUUUGCCCAGUCUUCAUCCUCUUCAGUCUCUGCAACCCUACAUCUGAGUAACUGUCCUCCCCUCGGGCACACAUCACCCUUGGGUGGCUGACAGCUGAUGGUGCACUGCCUGGUCCUCCUCCCAUUCACAGUGCUGCAGAGAUUCCGUUCACUCGUUCCUUGCCUUUUUCUUUUGAAACAAUUUCAAAGACACAGAAAGUCCACAUUCCCCUGAACCACUUGAGUUAAUUGCCUACAGGAUGCUCCAGUAUGCAUUUCCCACAAAUGAGGACAUUCUCCACCCUAACCUAAUACAAUGCUCACAAUUGGGACAUUAACAUUGCUGCAUUAGCCCUGGCUAACCCACAGGCCUUAUUGGAUUUUCAUCCAUUGGUCCAAGGAUGUCCUUUCAACAAAAGGAUCCAGCUCAGAAUUCUCUAUGGCAUUCAAUUAUCAGGUCUUUCCAGUCUCCUUCCAUCAGAGAUGUUUCCUAAGCCUUUACUUUCACAACCAGGGAAAUUUGGAAUACAAGAGACCAGUUAUAUUGCAGAAUGUCCCUCAAUUUGGGUUUAUUUUUCAGCCCUCAUGACUAGGUUUGUGUUACGUGGUUUUGGCAGCAAUAUUACAGAUGUUGUUUUCCUCCUUGUCACAUUAUUGAUCCUGAUGCUCAAGUUUUCCCAGAUUUGGUCCACCUGGCAAGCUGGCUUCUGUCACUAUAGUUCUCUGAGCACCUCCUUGCUGUCUGGCACAGCAAGAUGUUUCAGGCUGGUGUUGUACUUCCUCUGCCCCAGCCCUGGCAUCAGCCAUUUCUCUCUUCUUUGGAUGGAGAAUGAUACUUAGAAACCAAAAUCUGAGUGCAGGAUGUGCUCAUUGUUCUUGAAGUGUUCCUGCCUCCAGACCUCUCCUUUCUUUCUGGAUUGAUCUCUUUCUAUGUGACCGACCCCUACUCAUGCUGCUACUGUCCACACUCUCCUUGCAGGCACUGUCUUCCUCCUUCUUGUCUCUGAUAUAGCCCAGGGCAGCCUGACUGGAGGGAUGUCUUGCCUCGCCUGACCCUGCAUGAUGGCCUUUGAAUGACAUUAUUCAGAAAGGAAGUCAGGCAGGUAGGAAGGCUGGAAACAAUUUCACUUACUCUUUUUUUUUAUUUAAUAAAUGUGAAUUUACA